rnacentral:rRNA from 1 species
GAUGAACGCUAGCUACAGGCUUAACACAUGCAAGUCGCGGGGCAGCAUGGGGGUUGCUUGCAACUCCCGAUGGCGACCGGCGCACGGGUGAGUAACGCGUAUCCAACCUGCCCUUCACCACGGGAUAACCCGGCGAAAGUCGGACUAAUACCGUAUGUUGUCCAUUGACGGCAUCCGAUUUGGACGAAAGGCUUUGCGGUGAAGGAUGGGGAUGCGUCCGAUUAGCCAGACGGCGGGGUAACGGCCCACCGUGGCUACGAUCGGUAGGGGUUCUGAGAGGAAGGUCCCCCACCCUGGAACUGAGACACGGUCCAGACUCCUACGGGAGGCAGCAGUGAGGAAUAUUGGUCAAUGGGCGUAAGCCUGAACCAGCCAAGUAGCGUGCAGGAUGACGGCCCUAUGGGUUGUAAACUGCUUUUAUGCGGGGAUAAAGUGGCCCACGUGUGGGCUUUUGCAGGUACCGCAUGAAUAAGGACCGGCUAAUUCCGUG